GUAGGUGAACCUGCGGAAGGAUCAUUAACACAUAUCCAGACGUUAAAACAACCCUGUGAAUAUUGAAUCUUAGUUCCCCCAGGGCGGCGCGGUAGACACGCAUCAUGUUCAACCUGAAUGAACUAAGGCCCCACGUGGGAGUAACGACCCCCGGUAAAUGGCCGUGUGGACCACCGAUCGUGGAAAGCGCUGCCCUUGCACAAUUCACCAAACACUUUCAGAUUUAUGGUUGCUUGGGGGCACCAGGGGUGGAUCUUGGAAACGCUCGACCCAAUACAGGUGCUACUCGUGCGCCAUCCUCUCACUCAAAACCUUGUUAAGACAAUGAUUUACUAGAGGAAGCCCAUUUUUCUACGAAAGUCCGACGCACCCCUAACCGAACAACUGUUAACAAUGGAUAUCUUGGUUUUC
rnacentral:misc_RNA from 1 species